rnacentral:rRNA from 1 species
GAUGAACGCUGGCGGCGUGCCUAAUACAUGCAAGUCGAGCGAACAGACGAGGAGCUUGCUCCUCUGACGUUUGCGGCGGACGUGUGAGUCACACGUGGAUAACCUACCUAUAAGACUUGGAUAACUUCGGGACACCGUAUCUAAUACCGGAUAAUAUAUUGAACCGCAUGGUUCUAUAGUGAAAGACGGUUUUGCUGUCUCUUAUAGAUGGUUCCGCGCCGCAUUAGCUAGUUGGUAAGGUAACGGCUUACCAAGGCGACGAUGGGUAGCCGACCUGAGAGGGUGAUCGGCCACACGGGAACUGAGACACGGUCCAGAGGCCUACGGGAGGCAGCAGUAGGGAAUCUUACGCAAUGGGCGAAAGCAUGACGGAGCAACGCCGCGUGAGUGAUGAAGGUCUUCGGAGCGUAAAACUCUGUUAUUAGGGAAGAACAAAUGUGUAAGUAACUAUGCACGUCUUGACGGUACCUAAUCAGAAAGCCACGGCUAACUACGUG